rnacentral:rRNA from 1 species
CGCUAAUACCGCAUACGUCCUACGGNGAAANCGGGGGAGUCUUCGGACCUCGCGCCAUUAGAUGAGCCUAGGUCGGAUUAGCUAGUUGGUGAGGUAAUGGCUCACCAAGGCGACGAUCCGUAACUGGUCUGAGAGGAUGAUCAGUCACACUGGAACUGAGACACGGUCCAGACUCCUACGGGAGGCAGCAGUGGGGAAUAUUGGACAAUGGGCGAAAGCCUGAUCCAGCCAUGCCGCGUGUGUGAAGAAGGUCUUCGGAUUGUAAAGCACUUUAAGUUGGGAGGAAGGGUAGUAACCUAAUACGUUGCUACUUUGACGUUACCGACAGAAUAAGCACCGGCUAACUUCGUG